AAUAAAAGUUGAGGUGAUUUCCCUAAAUUCAAAGAGUAAUUCCUAGAUCUGCAAUCAUCGAUAGAACGUGACUCCCUGUGAAGGAAAACAUUAAAAUAUAAAGCUUUGAUCACUGCUAAAAUAAGAUAACUAAAUAAAACCACACUUGCAGGUGAGAGCUUUCACUUGUAUUCCUGUACCGAUUUUCAGUUGCUGAGCUGUACUGGGGGCUUCCCAUGCUCCAGAGGUAAACGGAUACACUGUCCACGUUGCUCACUGCCUGAUGCAGCACAUCCUUAUGCACGCUAAUUACACCCUCCUGUAUAGCCAGAAUUAUAAGUUUCUCCAUGGGAUCUCCUAUAGUGCUGUUCCUGCUCGUGCUAGAAUGCUUCACAAAGUUAAUUUGUUUUCUUCCCAACACUCCUGUGAGAGGAGAAGGCAUUGCCCAUGUUUUUAAAUGGAAAAUUAAGGUACAGAAAGAUUAAGCACAAAAGUAUCUAUUAAUUUUGCCAAAUCUGACAUGCCUCAUAGCUGUUUUUUCAGACUACCUGGUACUAUUAAUUACAUCCAUAUUUAAUCACAGAAAUGGUUAAAUAUAGCACUGGAAGGGAUAUCAAGUCACGCAGUAAUUCCCCUUGCUGUGGAUAGGAUAAAAUCCAGGAUAUCCAGGGGACAGGACAGAUAGCUGGUGAGAAGUUAAUACAGGACAUCAAGCUACUGAGCGCCAAGGGAACACAAGCCAUAGCGCAUCGAUGAAGA